rnacentral:misc_RNA from 1 species
AAAUUACCGUUUGUAUGUAGUUGUGCCUCUUCCCACAUGCAACGGAAACACAGUGAGAAAAAAAAAAUCGUGCUUUUGUUGUUAGAAAUUGCAAGUCAAAAAAAUUUCUUAACAAAGAAAAAAAAAUCAAUGAAAGAAGAGAUUUGGCAAAUCCAAAAGCUAAUUGCCCAAUAGUCUAGUUUACAAAAAUCAAAACCCAUAAACCAAAUAUCCAAGACUCAAAAACAGAACAAGAGAGCCGUAAACAAGAACGUGUGGGCUUGGAAAAAAAAAUUGAAAUGAAGCAAAAUCAAACGGGAUCGAUCUGGAUUCAUCAGAUUGACACAAAGAAAAAUAGGUCAAACACACUUAAAAUCCUUCCCCGCCGCAAAAGGAGAUAAAUCGAAACAAUAAAAAAUAACAGAAAGCAUGAAUUGAU